rnacentral:rRNA from 1 species
GGAGGAAUAUUGGGCAAUGGACGCAAGUCUGACCCAGCCAUGCCGCGUGAAGGAUGAAGGCGUUCUGCGUUGUAAACUUCUUUUAUCUGGGAAGAAACCUCAGUUUUCUAAUUGAGCCGACGGUACCAGAGGAAUAAGCACCGGCUAACUCCGUGCCAGCAGCCGCGGUAAUACGGAGGGUGCAAGCGUUAUCCGGAUUCACUGGGUUUAAAGGGUGUGUAGGCGGGCUAUUAAGUCAGUGGUGAAAUCUCCGGGCUCAACCCGGAAACUGCCAUUGAUACUAUUAGUCUUGAAUUUUGUUGAGGUGGGCGGAAUAUGUCAUGUAGCGGUGAAAUGCUUAGAUAUGACAUAGAACACCGAUUGCGAAGGCAGCUCACUAAGCAAACAUUGACGCUGAGGCACGAAAGCGUGGGGAUCAAACAGGAUUAGAUACCCUGGUAGUCCACGCCCUAAACGAUGAUUACUCGACAUACGCGAUAUACAGUGUGUGU